rnacentral:rRNA from 1 species
GAUGAACGCUGGCGGCGUGCCUAAUACAUGCAAGUCGAGCGAACAGACGAGGAGCUUGCUCCUCUGACGUUAGCGGCGGACGGGUGAGUAACACGUGGAUAACCUACCUAUAAGACUGGGAUAACUUCGGGAAACCGGAGCUACUACCGGCUAAUAUAUUGAACCGCAUGGAUCAAUAGUGAAAGACGGUUUUGCCGUCACUUAUAGCUGGAUCCGCGCCGCAUUAGCUAGUUGGUAAGGUAACGGCUUACCAAGGCUACGAUGCGUAGCCGACCUGAGAGGGUGAUCGGCCACACUGGAACUGAGACACGGUCCAGACUCCUACGGGAGGCAGCAGUAGGGAAUCUUGCGCAAUGGGCGAAAGCCUGACGGAGCAACGCCGCGUGAGUGAUGAAGGUCUUCGGAUCGUAAAACUCUGUUAUUAGGGAAGAACAACUGUGUAAGUAACCAUGCACGUCUUGACGGUACCUAAUCAGAAAGCAACGGCUAACUACGUG